AUUGAACGCUGGCGGCAGGCCUAACACAUGCAAGUCGAACGAGUGGCGGACGGGUGAGUAAUGUAUGGGAAACUGCCUGAUGGAGGGGGAUAACUACUGGAAACGGUAGCUAAUACCGCAUACCAUCAGAUUUGCCCAGAUGGGAUUCGCUAGUAGGUGGGGUAACGGCUCACUUAGGCGACGAUCCCUAGCUGGUCUGAGAGGAUGACCAGCCACACUGGAACUGAGACACGGUCCAGACUCCUACGGGAGGCAGCAGUGGGGAAUAUUGCACAAUGGGCGCAAGCCUGAUGCAGCCAUGCCGCGUGUAUGAAGAAGGCCUUCGGGUUGUAAAGUACUUUCAGCGAGGAGGCGUUACUCGCAGAAGAAGCACCGGCUAACUCCGUGCCAGCAGCCGCGGUAAUAC
rnacentral:rRNA from 1 species